UUCAGAUAAAAAGGUUUUAUUGUAUUUUAGGCUCCAAUAUUUCAAUACACCUUAUAGGGAAAGUAGCAUGAGGAGUAAUUGGAUAUAAUACUUUAAAGGUUUCAUACAAUUAUAUACAUUAAUAUCUAAUCAUGCAAUUUAAACCAUGUUACAACAUCAACAAUGCAGCAAAACCCUGUUUAUUAGAGGGCGAACAUUGAGGAUUCGUAUAGUUUAAAUGUUUAGUGUAACAUUUUACCAUGGCAGUGUAAUCCUUGCCCUUAGAUUGACAUGAACAAAAUCGGUGUAGCGAUAAAAUGGAACAUGGAAGAGUUCUGAACAUUCAGCCUAUAAAUGAGGGUUAAAAAGUAAAUAAAUCUAUAUGUAUUAUUUAUACAUUUAGAUAUAUAUACCCCAAUCAAAAGUUUGGUUAACUUAAGAGCAAUACAAAGUGUUGCCAUUAUUCAAUUGCCUUUUAAAUUAAGAUUAUGUUUGCAUAAUUAGGUUUAUUUACAACCCUGUGUGUGUGUGCGUGUAUGUAUGUAUGUAUGUAUGUAUAUAUAAAUGCUGUGAUUUAUGUAAAGCCAGUGAUCCCAAAACCACAAUUUUAAAGGAUGUAAUUUGUCUUAUGAUCGUCAUCCUAAAAUGGGCUGAGAGUUCACAAAAUCACAUGUUGAAUCCAUCUGAUACAGUGGCUCACUGGCUGUUUAAGACUGAAGCAUGUAAUGUCAGUUAAUGUCUAGCCAUCCAGUUAGCCAAUCAAGGUGAUAUUUCAAAGACUAAUUAGUUAUAUGGUAAUUAGAUUGGGUUUUGCAAACUGCACUUUACUUUGGUUGUGUUAAACAAAGUUGCGGCAAUUGCGUUUACUUUUUUUACGACAGCACUUGAACUAUCGCUUUAAUACUUUGCUUUAAUAAUUAUAUACAUUUAUAUCUAAUCAUGCAAUUUAAACCAUGUUACAACAUCAACAAUGCAGCAAAACCCUGUUUAUUAGAGGGCGAACAUUGAGGAUUCGUAUAGUUUAAAUGUUUAGUGUAACAUUUUACCAUGGCAGUGUAAUCCUUGCCCUUAGAUUGACAUGAACAAAAUCGGUGUAGCGAUAAAAUGGAACAUGGAAGAGUUCUGAACAUUCAGUCUAUAAAUGAGGGUUAAAAAGUAAAUAAAUCUAUAUGCAUUAUUUAUACAUUUAGAUAUAUAUACCCCAAUCAAAAGUUUGGUUAACUUAAGAGCAAUACAAAGUGUUGCCAUUAUUCAAUUGCCUUUUAAAUUAAGAUUAUGUUUGCAUAAUUAGGUUUAUUUACAACCCUGUGUGUGUGUGUAUGUAUGUAUGUAUGUAUGUAUGUAUGUAUGUAUGUAUGUAUGUAUGUAUGUAUGUAUGUAUGUAUGUAUGUAUGUAUGUAUGAAUGUAUGUAUAUAUAAAUGCUGUGAUUUAUGUAAAGCCAGUGAUCCCAAAACCACAAUUUUAAAGGAUGUAAUUUGUCUUAUGAUCGUCAUCCUAAAAUGGGCUGAGAGUUCACAAAAUCACAUGUUGAAUCCAUCUGAUACAGUGGCUCACUGGCUGUUUAAGACUGAAGCAUGUAAUGUCAGUUAAUGUCUAGCCAUCCAGUUAGCCAAUCAAGGUGAUAUUUCAAAGACUAAUUAGUUAUAUGGUAAUUAGAUUGGGUUUUGCAAACUGCACUUUACUUUGGUUGUGUUAAACAAAGUUGCGGCAAUUGCGUUUACUUUUUUUACGACAGCUCUUGAACUAUCGCUUUAAUACUUAUAAACUUUAACCUCCAACCUAAACCUUGACCUUUGAACUCUCAUCUUUAGCUGCAGGGGUCCGUCGGUCGCUCCAGGCUCAGGGUCCCAAGUGCAAUCUUGAG
ensembl:lncRNA